rnacentral:rRNA from 1 species
CAAACUUGAUCAUUUAGAGGAAGUAAAAGUCGUAACAAGGUUUCCGUGGGGGAACCUGCGGAAGGAUCAUUAACGUUUUC